UGUGAGGUUGUAGUCAGUGAACUGUGCUGUGAGGUUGUAGUCAGUGAACUGUGCUGUGAGGUUGUAGUCAGUGAACUGUGCUGUGAGGUUGUAGUCAGUGAACUGUACUGUGAGGUUGUAGUCAGUGAACUGUGCUGUGAGGUUGUAGUCAGUGAACUGUGCUGUGAGGUUGUAGUCAGUGAACUGUACUGUGAGGUUGUACUCAGUGAACUGUACUGUGAGGUUGUAGUCAGUGAACUGUGCUGUG